rnacentral:misc_RNA from 1 species
UCCCAAUUGCUUUUUCAAUCCCAAUUGGGACAGCUCAAUGGAUCAGAGCGAUCCCUUUGCGUCUGCUUUGAGCUCCAUUGUCUCUUCUCCUGUAACAACAUCAAAUGCCAUUCCUUCUAGUGGUGGUGUUGGUGACCCUGUUAUGAUUAGAGAACUCAUUGGAAGAUUAGGAAACAUUUGUAAUUCUGGGGAGACUUCUUAUAUUAACAAUAACAGUAGUACUAAUACUUCAUGUUAUAGUACCCC